rnacentral:antisense_RNA from 1 species
GACACGGAUACCUCACAGGUUCCAUUACUACUCACAGCGUUGUGGUCCGGGUUCAUCGCCAUCCUGCUCCACGCUGUCAUAAUCCUCACGCAUCCGCGCUCGGGACCCCUCUUCUAUAAGGGACAUACACGAGAUCACCGAAAAUUCCCCCUUUCUCCCAUUGUUCCUAUGAGUUUGUGAAUGCUCUCUGGAGCCCCAAAAGAUAAAAGAAUAAGUAACCAUGACAGUCAUUUGUAACAAUCGUCUCUUUCCCAACACACUACCUGCAAGCCGACCCAAACCGCCUCGUCUCAGUGCCUUCCCGGUCACGCCCUCCCUUCUCCUGAAGGGGGCGGAAUCUCUAAUCCACCCAAGACCCGGUUCUCCGAUUCCCAUCCUCAAGACCGGGGAGAAAAGAGGAGUAAAUUUUCCUAUUAUAGCCUUCUCUCGCACCUUCCCCGCUUCCCCCCAGCCGCCUCCACUGUCCUCACCGUCCCCAUCCUCAUCCAUGGCGAAAUCUUCGCCCCCAGCCUCGUGAAGAUCUAGCACGUCCGCCAUCUCGCCUUCGAUCGAGAUCUCGUCUGUGCCGCUCAGACACUAGGUACCUCGGGAAACUGUCGCAGAGGGGAAAGGUCACCAGUCAAGCUGACCAAUCAAAGGAUAACUCUAAAUCCCUCCCUCUGCACGAUAAAAAUACGCAAAUUGGGGCGGGCCUAGUUCGGAAAGAUGCCGGAAGUGUUUCUGUGGCCAUCUUGAGCAGGUCGCAAGCUAAAUCCUGCCAUCUUAGGAGGUACAGACCAUAGGGGUCGUGGCUUCCUCUUAACCGCGGUAGUUGCUGAUAAAUACUGUACUAUUAACAGUGAGGCCC